AGAGCUUGCUUUAAAGAAGUUAGCGGCGGACGGGUGAGUAACACGUGGGCAACCUGCCUGUAAGACUGGGAUAACUUCGGGAAACCGGAGCUAAUACCGGAUAAUAUAUAGUACCUCCUGGUACUAUAUUGAAAGUUGGUUUCGGCUAACACUUACAGAUGGGCCCGCGGCGCAUUAGCUAGUUGGUGAGGUAACGGCUCACCAAGGCAACGAUGCGUAGCCGACCUGAGAGGGUGANCGGCCACACUGGGACUGAGACACGGCCCAGACUCCUACGGGAGGCAGCAGUAGGGAAUCUUCCACAAUGGACGAAAGUCUGAUGGAGCAACGCCGCGUGAGCGAUGAAGGCCUUCGGGUCGUAAAGCUCUGUUGUUAGGGAAGAACAAGUGCGAGAGUAACUGCUCGCACCUUGACGGUACCUAACCAGAAAGCCACGGCUAACUACGUGCCAGCAGCCGCGGUAAUACGUANGUGGCAAGCGUUGUCCGGAAUUAUUGGGCGUAAAGCGCGCGCANGCGGUUUCUUAAGUCUGAUGUGAAAGCCCACGGCUCAACCGUGGANGGUCAUUGGAAACUGGGAGAC
rnacentral:rRNA from 1 species